CGGCGUGCUUAACACAUGCAAGUCGAGCGGCAGCGCGGGAGCAAUCCUGGCGGCGAGCGGCGAACGGGUGAGUAAUGCUUCGGAAUCUACCCAGUAGUGGGGAAUAACCAGUCGAAAGACUGGCUAAUACCGCAUACGACCCACGGGUGAAAGCAGGGGAUCGCAAGACCUUGCGCUAUUGGAUGAGCCGAAGUCGGAUUAGCUAGUUGGUGGGGUAAAGGCCCACCAAGGCGACGAUCCGUAGCUGGUCUGAGAGGACGACCAGCCACACUGGGACUGAGACACGGCCCAGACUCCUACGGGAGGCAGCAGUGGGGAAUUUUCCGCAAUGGGCGAAAGCCUGACGGAGCAAGACCGCGUGAGGGAGGAAGGCUCUUGGGUUGUAAACCUCUUUUCUCAGGGAAGAACUCCAUGACGGUACCUGAGGAAUCAGCCUCGGCUAACUCCGUGCCAGCAGCCGCGGUAAUACGGAGGAGGCAAGCGUUAUCCGGAAUUAUUGGGCGUAAAGCGUCCGUAGGUGGUCAUGUAAGUCGGUCGUCAAAGCCAGAGGCUCAACCUCUGUCCGGCGGUAGAAACUGCAAGACUAGAGAGAGGUAGGGGUAGAGGGAAUUCCCAGUGUAGCGGUGAAAUGCGUAGAUAUUGGGAAGAACACCAGUGGCGAAGGCGCUCUGCUGGACCGAGACUGACGCUGAGGGACGAAAGCUAGGGGAGCGAAAGGGAUUAGAUACCCCUGUAGUCCUAGCUGUAAACGAUGGACACUAGGUGUUGCGCGUAUCGACCCGUGCAGUGCCGUAGCUAACGCGUUUAAGUCGUCCCGCCUGGGGAGUAACGCACGCAAGUUGAAACUCAAAGGAUGACGGGGGCCCGCACAAGCGGUGGAGUAUGUGGUUUAAUUUCGAUGCAACGCGAAGAACCUUACCAGGGUUUGACAUCCCUCGAAUCUCGGCAAAGUUGAGAGUGCCUUCGGGAGCGAGGAGACAGGUGGUGCAUGGCUGUCGUCAGCUCGUGUCGUGAGAUGUUGGGUUAAGUCCCGCAACGAGCGCAACCCACGUUUCCAGUUGCCAGCAUUAAGUUGGGGACUCUGGAGAGACUGCCGGUGACAAACCGGAGGAAGGUGCGGACGACGUCAAGUCAUCAUGCCCCUUACAUCCUGGGCUACACACGUACUACAAUGGUUAGGACAAAGGGCAGCGAAGCCGCGAGGUGGAGCAAAACUCAUAAACCUAGCCUCAGUUCAGAUUGCAGGCUGCAACUCGCCUGCAUGAAGGAGGAAUCGCUAGUAAUCGCAGGUCAGCAUACUGCGGUGAAUACGUUCCCGGGCCUUGUACACACCGCCCGUCACACCAUGGGAGUUGGCCACGCCCGAAGUCGUUACCCUAACCGUUCGCGGAGGGGGACGCCGAAGGUGGGGCUGAUGACUGGGGUG
rnacentral:rRNA from 1 species